rnacentral:rRNA from 1 species
GGCAGGCUUAACACAUGCAAGUCGAGCGAGACCUUCGGGUCUAGCGGCGGACGGGUGAGUAACGCGUGGGAACGUGCCCUUCUCUACGGAAUAGCCCCGGGAAACUGGGAGUAAUACCGUAUACGCCCUUUGGGGGAAAGAUUUAUCGGAGAAGGAUCGGCCCGCGUUGGAUUAGGUAGUUGGUGAGGUAACGGCUCACCAAGCCGACGAUCCAUAGCUGGUUUGAGAGGAUGAUCAGCCACACUGGGACUGAGACACGGCCCAGACUCCUACGGGAGGCAGCAGUGGGGAAUCUUAGACAAUGGGGGCAACCCUGAUCUAGCCAUGCCGCGUGAGUGAUGAAGGCCUUAGGGUUGUAAAGCUCUUUCAGCUGGGAAG